UACGGAGGGGGCGAGCGUUAUUCGGAAUUAUUGGGCGUAAAGGGUGCGUAGGCGGUUUGGUAAGUCUUAUGUGAAAUCUACAGGCUCAACUUGUAGUCUGCAUGAGAAACUGCCGGGCUUGAGUGUGGGAGAGGUGAGUGGAAUUCCUGGUGUAGCGGUGAAAUGCGUAGAUAUCAGGAGGAACACCUGUGGCGAAAGCGGCUCACUGGACCAUAACUGACGCUGAUGCACGAAAGCUAGGGGAGCAAACAGG
rnacentral:rRNA from 1 species